rnacentral:tRNA from 1 species
GGCUUCGUGGCCGAAUGGAUAAGGCGUUUGUCUACGAAAUCAGAGAUACUGGGUUUGAUCCCCAGCGGGGCCA